rnacentral:rRNA from 1 species
AUUGAACGCUGGCGGCAUGCCUUACACAUGCAAGUCGAACGGUAACAGGUCUUCGGAUGCUGACGAGUGGCGAACGGGGGAGUAAUACAUCGGAACGUGCCCAGACGUUGGGGAUAACGAGGCGAAAGCUUUGCUAAUACCGCAUACGAUCUAAGGAUGAAAGCAGGGGACCGCAAGGCCUUGCGCGUUUGGAGCGGCCGAUGGCAGAUUAGGUAGUUGGUGGGGUAAAAGCUUACCAAGCCGACGAUCUGGAGCUGGUCUGAGACGACGACCAGACACACUGGGACUGGGACACGGCCAAGACUCCUACGGGAGGCAGCAGUAGGGAUUUGUGGACAAUGGGCGAAGGCCUGAUCCAGCAAUGCCGCGUGCAGGAUGAAGGCCUUCGGGUUGUAAACUGCUUUUGUACGGAACGAAAAGGCUCUGGCUAAUACCUGGGGCACAUGACGGUACCGUAAGAAUAAGCACCGGCUAACUACGUG